rnacentral:rRNA from 1 species
CAGUAGCCGCGGGAAUACGAAGGGUGCAAGCGUUACUCGGAAUUACUGGGCGUAAAGCGUGCGUAGGUGGUGGUUUAAGUCCGUUGUGAAAGCCCUGGGCUCAACCUGGGAAUUGCAGUGGAUACUGGGUCACUAGAGUGUGGUAGAGGAUAGUGGAAUUUCCGGUGUAGCAGUGAAAUGCGUAGAGAUCGGAAGGAACAUCUGUGGCGAAGGCGACUAUCUGGGCCAACACUGACACUGAGGCACGAAAGCGUGGGGAGCAAACAGGAUUAGAUACCCGCGUAGUCCCUGUCUCUUAUAC